GGUUAAGUGACUAAGCGUACACGGUGGAUGCCUUGGCAGUCAGAGGCGAUGAAAGACGUAGUAACUUGCGAUAAGCCCAGAUUAGGUAGUAACAACCAUUUGAGUCUGGGAUUUCUGAAUGGGGAAACCCACGUGCAUAAGCACGUAUCCUUACCUGAAUACAUAGGGUAAGGAGGCGAACCGGGGGAACUGAAACAUCUAAGUACCCCGAGGAAAAGAAAUCAACCGAGAUUCCGAAAGUAGCGGCGAGCGAAAUUGGACUAGCCCUUAAGCUUUACACGCGUUAGACGAACGGUCUGGAAAGUCCGACGAUACAGGGUGAUAGUCCCGUAGUUGACGACGUGUGUUCAGUGAAAUCGAGUAGGGCGGGACACGUGAUAUCCUGUCUGAAUAUGGGGGGACCAUCCUCCAAGGCUAAAUACUACUGACUGACCGAUAGUGAACCAGUACCGUGAGGGAAAGGCGAAAAGAACCCCUGUGAGGGGAGUGAAAUAGAACCUGAAACCGUGUACGUACAAGCAGUAGGAGCAGGCUUUGUCCUGUGACUGCGUACCUUUUGUAUAAUGGGUCAGCGACUUAUAUUCAGUGGCAAGGUUAACCAUCUAGGGGAGCCGUAGGGAAACCGAGUCUUAACUGGGCGUUCAGUCUCUGGAUAUAGACCCGAAACCAGGUGAUCUAGCCAUGGGCAGGUUGAAGGUUGAGUAACAUCAACUGGAGGACCGAACCGACUAAUGUUGAAAAAUUAGCGGAUGACUUGUGGCUAGGGGUGAAAGGCCAAUCAAACCUGGAGAUAGCUGGUUCUCCCCGAAAGCUAUUUAGGUAGCGCCUCGGACGAAUACUACUGGGGGUAGAGCACUGUUAAGGCUAGGGGGUCAUCCCGACUUACCAACCCUUUGCAAACUCCGAAUACCAGUAAGUACUAUCCGGGAGACACACGGCGGGUGCUAACGUCCGUCGUGGAGAGGGAAACAACCCAGACCGCCAGCUAAGGUCCCAAAUUACUACUAAGUGGGAAACGAUGUGGGAAGGCUCAGACAGCCAGGAUGUUGGCUUAGAAGCAGCCAUCAUUUAAAGAAAGCGUAAUAGCUCACUGGUCGAGUCGGCCUGCGCGGAAGAUGUAACGGGGCUAAGUAGUAAACCGAAGCUGCGGCAAUAUACUUUUGUAUAUUGGGUAGGGGAGCGUUCUGUAAGCGGUUGAAGGUGUGUGGUAACGCAUGCUGGACGUAUCAGAAGUGCGAAUGCUGACAUGAGUAACGAUAAAGGGGGUGAAAAACCUCCUCGCCGGAAGACCAAGGGUUCCUGUCCAACGUUAAUCGGGGCAGGGUAAGUCGACCCCUAAGGCGAGGCCGAAAGGCGUAGUCGAUGGGAAACGGGUUAAUAUUCCCGUACUUCUUACAAUUGCGAUGGGGGGACGGAGAAGGCUAGGUGGGCCUGGCGACGGUUGUCCAGGUUCAAGUGCGUAGGCUUAAGAGUUAGGUAAAUCCGGCUCUUUCUAAGGCUGAGACACGACGUCGAGCACCUACGGGUGUGAAGUCAUUGAUGCCAUGCUUCCAGGAAAAGCCUCUAAGCUUCAGAUUGUAAGGAAUCGUACCCCAAACCGACACAGGUGGUCGGGUAGAGAAUACCAAGGCGCUUGAGAGAACUCGGGUGAAGGAACUAGGCAAAAUGGUACCGUAACUUCGGGAGAAGGUACGCUCUUGAUGGUGAAGUCCCUUGCGGAUGGAGCUGACGAGAGUCGCAGAUACCAGGUGGCUGCAACUGUUUAUUAAAAACACAGCACUGUGCAAAAUCGUAAGAUGACGUAUACGGUGUGACGCCUGCCCGGUGCCGGAAGGUUAAUUGAUGGGGUUAGACUUCGGUCGAAGCUCUUGAUCGAAGCCCCGGUAAACGGCGGCCGUAACUAUAACGGUCCUAAGGUAGCGAAAUUCCUUGUCGGGUAAGUUCCGACCUGCACGAAUGGCGUAAUGAUGGCCACGCUGUCUCCACCCGAGACUCAGUGAAAUUGAAAUCGCUGUGAAGAUGCAGUGUACCCGCGGCUAGACGGAAAGACCCCGUGAACCUUUACUACAGCUUGGCACUGAACAUUGACCCUACAUGUGUAGGAUAGGUGGGAGGCUUUGAAGCACGUACGCCAGUAUGUGUGGAGCCGUCCUUGAAAUACCACCCUUGUAGUGUUGAUGUUCUAACGUCGACCCCUAAUCGGGGUUGCGGACAGUGCCUGGUGGGUAGUUUGACUGGGGCGGUCUCCUCCCAAAGAGUAACGGAGGAGCACGAAGGUGGGCUAAUCACGGUUGGACAUCGUGAGGUUAGUGCAAUGGCAUAAGCCCGCUUGACUGCGAGAAUGACAAUUCGAGCAGGUGCGAAAGCAGGUCAUAGUGAUCCGGUGGUUCUGAAUGGAAGGGCCAUCGCUCAACGGAUAAAAGGUACUCCGGGGAUAACAGGCUGAUACCGCCCAAGAGUUCAUAUCGACGGCGGUGUUUGGCACCUCGAUGUCGGCUCAUCACAUCCUGGGGCUGAAGUCGGUCCCAAGGGUAUGGCUGUUCGCCAUUUAAAGUGGUACGCGAGCUGGGUUUAGAACGUCGUGAGACAGUUCGGUCCCUAUCUGCCGUGGGCGUUGGAAGAUUGAAGGGGGCUGCUCCUAGUACGAGAGGACCGGAGUGGACGAACCUCUGGUGUUCGGGUUGUGUCGCCAGACGCAUUGCCCGGUAGCUAAGUUCGGAAUCGAUAACCGCUGAAAGCAUCUAAGCGGGAAGCGAGCCCUGAGAUGAGUCUUCCCUGAUACUUUAAGUAUCCUAAAGGGUUGUCGGAGACUACGACGUUGAUAGGUCAGGUGUGUAAGUGCUGUGAGGCAUUGAGCUAACUGAUACUAAUUGCCCGUGAGGCUUAACCAU
rnacentral:rRNA from 1 species